rnacentral:rRNA from 1 species
CGAAUCGAAUCAUACCAGCAUUAAUGCACCGGAUCCCAUUCAGAACCUUCCGAAGUUAAGAGCGUGCUUGGCGAGAGUAGUACUAGGAUGUGGUGACCCUGUCAAGGCUGCUUGAGCGCUAUGA